UCGCCUGUUUACCAAAAACAUGGCUUCGUGUAAGCAUUAAAAUGCGAAGUCGGACCUGCCCAGUGAAGUUUAAACGGCCGCGGUACUCUGACCGUGCAAAGGUAGCAUAAUCAUUUGCCUUAUAAUUGAAGGCUGGAAUGAAUGGUUUGACAAGAAUACACCUGUCUCUUUUAGAUUAUUUAGAAUUUUAUCUUUAGGUGAAAAAGCCUAGAUUUUAUUAAAAGACAAGAAGACCCUAUCGAGCUUCAGAAAAAUUAAUAGAGUAAUUACGCUUAAUAUUAAUUAAAAAAAAAGCUAUUAAAUACUUUGGUUGGGGCAACCGAGGAGUAAAUAAAGCCUCCUUUGAAUAAAGAAGUCUUACUUGAGAUGAUCCAAGAAUUUUGAUCAAUGGAAUUAGUUACCGUAGGGAUAACAGCAUUAUCUUUUUUGAGAGCCCAUAUCGAAAAAAAGGUUUGUGACCUCNAUGUUGGACCAGAAUAUCCUAAAGAUGCAGAAGUCUUUGAGGGUUGGUCUGUUCGACCAUUAAAAUUCUACGUGAUCUGAGUUCAGACCGGCC
rnacentral:rRNA from 1 species